UGGGGAAUAUUGGACAAUGGGCGAAAGCCUGAUCCAGCCAUGCCGCGUGUGUGAAGAAGGUCUUCGGAUUGUAAAGCACUUUAAGUUGGGAGGAAGGGCAUUAACCUAAUACGUUAGUGUUUUGACGUUACCGACAGAAUAAGCACCGGCUAACUCUGUGCCAGCAGCCGCGGUAAUACAGAGGGUGCAAGCGUUAAUCGGAAUUACUGGGCGUAAAGCGCGCGUAGGUGGUUUGUUAAGUUGGAUGUGAAAUCCCCGGGCUCAACCUGUGAACUGCAUUCAAAACUGACUGACUAGAGUAUGGUAGAGGGUGGUGGAAUUUCCUGUGUAGCGGUGAAAUGCGUAGAUAUAGGAAGGAACACCAGUGGCGAAGGCGACCACCUGGACUAAUACUGACACUGAGGUGCGAAAGCGUGGGGAGCAAACA
rnacentral:rRNA from 1 species